AUGACUCUGAAAGCUCUGCCUUUAACUUGUCCAAAGCAAGACCCUGAUUUCGCUCAGCCUCUCCCUUCUCUGAAAACAACACCACUUUUCUUCACCCACCUGCUCAAGGCUAAGUUGCUUCAGCCCCAGACAAAACCCACCGGCAAAUCCCCUCCAGCGCUACCUUCAGAAUGCAUCUGGAAGCAGACUGUUUCUCCCCGCCCUCCUACUUCUGCGCUGGUCCAAGACACCAUCACCUGUUGUCUUUACUCUUUGAACAGCCUCAAUUCAGCUUCUGGCUUCCCAGGAGCCACUGCUCAGAAGAGCCGCCAUCCCACUCAAAGCGCAAUCCCCACUCUCACCCUGCCAGCAAAGCCCUCCACGGCCGAUCUCUCCUGCUCGCUGCCCCUUGAACCCACUCACCUCGCCCCUGCCUCAGAGCAUUUGUAGUCGUCACUCCCUCUCCCAGAAACACUCUUCCCCCAGAUUUUUGCUGCGCUCGCUCUCACCUUCUCCAGGUUUCUAUUCAAUGUCAGCUCCUCAGAGAGGGCGUAGAAGUUUGAUAUUGUUGAUGAAUUCCGAAAAUGGAUAUUGGAUCAUGUUUGUAAACUGGUCUGUUCCUCUGGGUGUAUUAGAUUGUAUUAAUUUCAAAGGUUUCACUUUUACUUGAUUAAAUUAUGAUGAGGGCUUUGAUUGUGCCAUGUCAGUAGGACAUCGAGUUCCCAUCCCCUUGGUAGGCGGGAACUCACAGGGAAAGCAAGGCAGAGGAGCUAGUUGGAGUUUUGAUGCUGAAACCCCGGGAAGUAAACACACAGGAGAAGAACACAGAGGAAUAGAGACAGCUCUGUAGACACAACAGAGGCCCCAGGAAGAGAGAGAGCCUGAGAGUCCAGAGCUGACCUCAUGGAGAGAACAGGGCAGCUGAGCCCAGAGAGAAACGAGCCCUGGGAGAGAGACGAGACCUAGCCCAGCCUGCAGCUGAGACUGGAAGGAGCUGGGACCACGGAGCCUUAGGAGGAAGAAGCCUGAACCCGGCAGACGUCGGCAGCCAACGUGGUCCAACACAUGGCAACAGACUUUGGUGAAGAAGAACCUUACACAUUAUGGCCUGGUAACUCUAAGCUUCUACCCCAAAUAAAUACCCUUUAUAAAAGCCAACAGGUUUCUGGUACUUUGUAUCAGAACCCCUUUGGCUGACUAAUACAGAGGGCUAGAGAGCCCUCCUAAGUAGGACUUUCCUUCCCCCACCACCCUCUAUCCCUUAUCCUGCUUUAUUUUUGACCGUGACACUGACAUAACAUUAUGCAUUCAUUCAUGCCUCAUCUCUCUCUCCUCUUAGCAUAACAGCUCCUUGAGGAGGUCAAAGACAGACUGUCUUGUUCCCAGCUGAAUUUCCAGCAUCUGAAUGAUGCCUGGCACAUGGUAGGUUUGCAACAUGGAAUGCUGAAUGACUGAAUUAGCGUGCCCUGUGUAAGCGUUGUGGACAUGUAGAGACAUAUAUGUAUAGGUAGAUGCUUUAUACAUACAUGCAGAUCUGU
rnacentral:lncRNA from 1 species